rnacentral:rRNA from 1 species
UACGUAGGGGGCAAGCGUUGUCCGGAAUCAUUGGGCGUAAAGAGCGUGUAGGCGGUCCGGUAAGUCAGCUGUGAAAGUCAAGGGCUCAACCCUUGAAAGCCGGUUGAUACUGUCGGGCUAGAGUCCGGAAGAGGCGAGUGGAAUUCCCGGUGUAGCGGUGAAAUGCGCAGAUAUCGGGAGGAACACCAAUGGCGAAGGCAGCUCGCUGGGACGGUACUGACGCUGAGACGCGAAAGCGUGGGGAGCAACAGG